rnacentral:tRNA from 1 species
UGGUAGGGGUGGUGGGAUUCGAACCCACAAAACCUGAAUUUUAAGUCCAGUACCUAUGCCAAUUCGAUUACACCCCC